AUGUGCCGGGCGCCCACCCCUUCCCGCCUGGCCCCAGGCACACGGGACAGCGUGGGGGUCCGCAACGCGCCCUGUGGGAGCACCCCGGCAAAAACCCUCGUGGCACCGCCACGGGGCAGGUCCAUGGCACCCAGCACCAGGCUGACAUCUCGAAAAAGCGCCCAGCAAGGAGGCAAAUCUUCUGUGGCAGCUGCCAUGCCCCGAGAAGGGGGGGUCCCUGCUGUGGCAACACCCCGUGCCCCCAGCCCCAUCAAGGUUCGUGCCCCCGUCCUGCACCAGGAUGCCCACGGAGACUCACAGAGCCAGAAAAGCCCGCGGGAAGGGGGCCAGGGAGCUCUUGGCCGGGGCCAACCGCCCUCACCCCGAAAUUCCUCCAGCCAGCCUCUGAAACAGGACGGCAGCGUUAAAUCCCCCAUCAGAGCCAGCCCGGCGGUCUGCCGGCCCCCCAGCCCUGCGGCUCAUUUUGCAGCUGGGUGCAAGGUCUGCGAUGCUGGGGGGGGUCCCCAGGGAACCCAGCAGUGCCACCCAGACCCAAGUUCAAGGGCUGGGGGUGCUGAGGGACCUGGGGUGCCAGCGGACAAACCGGGGGGAGGCUGUGGCCCCAGCGGAGGGAACGAGCGUCUCCAGGGAUGCUGGGGACACGUGCAGCCCCCCGGCUACGGCAAGGUGGUAGAGGAGCUCUCCCGUGGGAGGCAACCCCUGCGCCCCGUGGGGCUGGGGAACUGGGUCCCCAAAACACCCCCGCAAGCCGCCCCUCAGCCCACCGCCCUCCCGGCUCGAGGGGAGGCGGAGGUGCCGGGAGCCGGGGGUCAGACCCCACGGGGACCCAGGGCCAGCAACGUCCCCAAGCCCCGGCGGUGCCUGAAGAAACCCGAGCGCGUGCCCUCCAUCUACAAGCUGAAGCUGCGGCCCAAGGCUCGUCCCCGGCGGGACCACAGGCCGGGCAAGCGCCCCUCGCGUAUCCCCACCCCGCUGGGCCAGCGCCCGCCAGCCCCCCGGGGCCAGCAUCACCCCCCGGGACCACCCCGGCACCCCCAGCCCAGUGGCACCCGCUCCGGGGCCAAGCCCUCGCCGGCCGACAGCGGUGCCUGGCUGACCGAGGAUGACGAGGAGGCGUGGGUCUGA
rnacentral:lncRNA from 1 species